GCCGCCCGGCCCCGCGAGCUGGGGCUCUUCCGGUUCCGCGGCCGCAUUCCUUCUGUCGUCGAAGAGAGCGCGGAGGCCUGCGGAGUUGGGGGUUGCUGCCCGCAGCUGUCAGGGGCACCUGCUGCGUCCGCCACUGGGCUUGCCCCUCCGCUGGCUGUAGCUCUAGUGAUUCCCCACCGAGGCACUAGGGACAUGUCCCUUUUCGCCCCGCUUCACACAGGGGAAAGCAAGGCCCAGAAAGAAGAAAUAAUUUGCAGAGGGCCCGAGUUAGGAUCAGAGCCCAGGUCUCCUGGCUCCCGCGCGGCUCUUUCCCACCCUCUGGCUUUACCUGCUGAACCGCAGUUCCCGAACGAGAGCUGCCCUCCGUGACUGUUUUCCGUGGCCUGGGGAGAAGACAGCCCGCCCAAGGGCCCGCUUGCCCCCACUGUGCCAACGCUGGAAUUUCGUUAUAAAGGACCAGGACUUGGGCGGGGAGAAUGAGAUACUCACCUUGAGUGCAGAAUUUAAAGGGAUGUCAAAAAACUUGAUGAGGACUCUGAGCUCCAGAGAGGCUCCGUGACUUGUUUAGCAUCACAAAGUGGAUGGAGAAACAGGACAAGAAUCAAGGUCUCUGGACAGAGCAGCCUCCUUCAAUUCCCUGAAAGUAUAGUUUUCUGCGCCCCUCAGGUGGAUUCAACCAGUGAAACAGUGUUAUCUCCAGUUCUGGAGGCUGAGAAGUCCAAGAUCGUGUUUCCAGCAGCUUCAGUGUCUGAUGAGAGCCCACUUUCUUGUUCCUAAGAACCUUUGGAUGUAUCCUCACAUGGGGGAUGGGGCCAAGGAGCCCUCUGCAGGCUCUUUCAUAAUCCCAUUCAUGAAGGGACCGUGCUCCGCCCUCACGAUCUCAUCACUCCCAAAGGCCCCACCUCCAAAUACUGUCAAAUUGGGAAUCCACAUAUAGGGUUAGGUUUCAACAUAUGAAUUCGGGGGGGAUCAAAGACAUUCCAUUUAUAGCAAUGAAAUAUAAUUGUUGAGAAGUGACUGUCCAGCCACAGACUUCAUUUCUGAAACCCCUGCAUCUAGAUGGGACCAUGUGACUGACUUAUGGCCAGGGGAUUUGAGUGGAAGGAAUUCAUGCCAGUUCUAGGUGAGGCCCCUAAACUACCACAUGUGGUUCUGCACACACUCUCUCUCCUUGUCUGCCGGCUGCAUGUGGAUGCCCAUAGCAACCUUGGAGGCCAAAUGCUGAAAUGGCAGACCGCCUACCAGUCUGGGUCCCUGAAGGGCUACAGGGAAUGGAACCACUGCUCACCCCACUACCACCAACUGAACUUUGCAUGACCUGUUAGCAAGAAAAACGUCCAUUACAUUAGGCCAUUGAGAUUCUGGGGUUUAUCUGUUAUUGCAGUUAAUAGUUACUUUAACAUAGUCAAUGACAUCUAACUUGAACAAUAACAUUUAAUUUCCACUUAGAAUACUGGAGGCCAGGGGCGCCUGGGUGGCUCAGUCUUUGAGCGUCUGCCUUCGGCUCGGGUCAUGAUCCCAGGGUCCUGGGAUCGAGCCCUGCAUCGGGCUCCCUGCUCAGCGGGA